UUGCACCACCUCCUCCUGGAAGCUUAGAACCUUUCUCCAAACUAGGAUUAUUCCCUCCUAAGACCUCUCACAUCUUUUAGCUUGUGCCUUUUUUGCAGGUGCUUUGAUUCCACUUGUACUUCAACCAUCUGUGAGCUACUUCUAUUCUCUUUAGGAGACUGGCAACUCCCUAAAGGCAGAGCAUGAAUUGGGGGAUAAUUGGCCACCAUUACUGAGUGUCUACUUUGCCUUGCUCUGCACCUGUGGAUCCUCCGAACAAGGAAGCUUAGUUCUUCUUCUGCCCAUUUUGUAGGGGAGGAAACAGUGGAAACUCAGAGGUGCAGACAUUUGCCUAAGGAUAUACAGAAGAUAAGGAGCAGAGCUGACAUCAGAACUCAAGCUUGCAAAUGUGUAUGCGGGCCACCAUGCCACAUCUGCCACCUCUCUCACAGCACUGCUGGGGGAACAGGAGAAGCAUUGGAGGUGGCAGGCUUUGCCUUACUACACAUGGCAUAUGCAUUUUAAAUAAGGACUUUGAUCUGGAAGCAGGAGAGCAUAUUUAUUGCCUCAACUCAGCUUGAUUUGGGCUCUUCUGUCCCACAAAUGACACCAACCCUCACUGGCCUGAAGACCUUGCCUGAAAGAGAAAGAGCAGUGGCAUGAAGUCAGAAGAGGUGCGUUUACCUGCCAGCUUUGCCUCUGUCUGUGUUCUCUCCCUGAGCCUCAGGAAUCGCACUUCAGUAAUGGUUUUGCUAUGAGAAUUUGGAAGCAGCACGUGUAAAAACCCUAGCUCAGAUUGGGUACUAGAUAGACAUCAGCAGUGAAGAUUCACUGAGUUUGCCCCAGGGCAGGCAGUGGAACGGGUACAUUAAUGCAUAUCCCAAAUCCUCACAGCCACCCAGAGGUAGAUCCUGUUACUGUCAUCACAGCUACCUGAUCAGAAAACUGAAGUUCCAAACACAAGAACUGCAUUGCGAGUGGAUUUUCAACCCAGAAAUGCACUUUGAAGAGACAUGCGUUCGUAAGAGGUCGCUCCUGAGAAUGUGACAGAAAUCACUGUGCCACCUGGCUUUCUUCUUUGUGAGUCUAUAUCUAGGAGUGGACUAGACUGAUGCUCUGUGGUAUUAUUCUAACCAACAGCAGGCCAGGCAUGUUGGCUCAUGCCUGUAAUCCCAGCACUUUGGGAGGCUGAGGCGGGUGGAU
rnacentral:lncRNA from 1 species